UAUUUUAGUGUGUAUUUGAUCAUUUAUUGUGCAAAUCAGACUAUGGUUUUCUACUCCGGUUCUUACACUAUACAUUGUUUUGUCUCCUCACCUCAUUUUGCCGCUAUCAAACCAUCAAACUGUUCUACAGAUUCUCUGCAUCUUUUGCAGUGUCUCUCUAUCGAUUUGAUUUGAGUUCAUGCUGUUUUUGCACGGAAUUUACACAUAUUCCAGCAAUUCAAGGGUACAACAAUCACAAGAUGAGACAUUUCAAAGGAAUGCGCACAUACCUUAACGCGGAUACGCCCAGCUUGUUCUCACUUGUGCUGCAUCAGAGAGUGAUUUUGGGCAUCAAUCAUGGGUUACGAAGACGUUCUUGUGCUUUUGGGGCAUUUUCUUGAUGAACAGGAUUUGUUCCCUCGUAACUGAGAGACAACAACCACUUUCACUGUUGCAACAGCUGCAUCUGCUGCCACCCAUGGGAUUGAAAUAGCAGUUGAGCGCUGAAACGAGCCUCUUGACAAUGAUCAACCAAUCCGAUAUCGUUGACCGAGCCUUUAACGAUAGAAGAAUAUGGAAGCAAAGAGCAUCUUCAGGUUUAAAAAAGGGGGCUGAUACGCCGGUCAUACAGGAGCAGAACCCUUGUGAACCUCAACGUACCCGAGAUAUUCUGCCAUCACUCAGGCGCCUAGAACAUAACAUCAUUAAAUUGCUUUAAGAUCAGUGUCUCAUUCAUCUGCCAUAAAAUACAGUAACUGGUCAUGCUUGUACCUUUCUUUACCUCACAGUUGUAUAAUGCCUGUUGAUCUUUGUCUACUUUUUGAAGCCUUGGUGGACAUUUCAUGUUUUUGUGAAGGAGAAAUUUGGAUAGCACGCUCGUGUAUAUCCCAAAAUGUCGAAGCUUUCGGUUGUUUGAUACGCUCUUACUGUUACAUAGAAUUUGUCCAUCUUAUUUAGUACCUAUGAUGCAUCUCACAUUGAACAAAUGUAGAAAAAGAAAUAUUAUUUUUUCUUCAAUUUAAGAAGUAUAAUACAUA